GACGAACGCUGGCGGCGCGCUUAACACAUGCAAGUCGAACGGAAAGGCCUGCUUUCCCUUGUGGAUUGCGGGUACUCGAGUGGCGAACGGGUGAGUAACACGUGAGUGAUCUGCCCCCAACUUGGGUAUAAGCCUGGGAAACUGGGUCUAAUUCCCGAUAGGACUGCAGGGUGGUGCCUGUGGUGGAAAACGAUUUUCUAGUGGUUGGGGAUGAGCUCGCGGCCUAUCAGCUUGUUGGUGGGGUAAUGGCCUACCAAGGCGGCGACGGGUAGCCGGCCUGGGGAGGUGGACGGCCCAAAUGGGGCUUGGGAACGGGCCAGACUCCUACCGGGAGCCGGAAGUGGGGAUAUUGCACAAUGGGCGGAAGCCUGAUGCAGCGACGCCGCGUGGGGGAUGACGGCCUUCGGGUUGUAAACUCCUUUCGACCGCGAGGAAGCCACCUGGUUGGAAGGGUGGUGACGGUAGUGGUAGAAGAAGCACCGGCUAACUACGUG
rnacentral:rRNA from 1 species